UGACCCUAGGCGAGGUGAGAUUACCAGCUGAGUUUAAACAUAUCAAUAAACAGAGGAAAAGAAAGUUACCAGGAUUGCUUUAGUAACGGUGAGCGAACUGAGAAAAGCCCAUCUUGACAAUUGGACAUGAUCGGUGUUCGAAUUGUAGUCUAGAGAAGUGUCCUCAGUGUCAAACUAGGCCUAAAUCUCGUGGAAAGGGGUGCCAGAGAGGGGGGUAGCCCCGUCAUGCUCGAACCCUGUUACACUAUGAGGCACUAUCUACGAGUCGAGUUUUUUAGGUAUGUAGGCCCAACCGGGUGGUAAAUUUCAUCCAAGGCUAAAUACGGGUGAGAGACUGAUAGCGAACAAGCACCGCAAGGGAAAGAUGGAAAGGACUUUGAAAAUAGACCAACAGCAAACAAGUACUGACGCAGGUCAUGGUGACGAACCAAGCCCAGGCUUUUGAUAGCCCGUGGAGACGUCGUCGCCUUAAUCGUGGGAUCUAGCACACACUGUCUUGGCGAGCUUCGACACCUACGUGCUUCGGACGUCAGCCUGCAGGCUCCCCAUUCGGCCCGUCUUGAAACAUGAACCAAGGAUUCUAACAUGUGUGCUAGUCAAUGGGCUAGAAAACCCAUAAGGUACAAGGAAGCUGAUUGGCGGGAUCCCUCGUAGGUGCACCGUCGAUCGACCUUGAUCUGCUAAGAAUGGCUCAAGUGAGAGAAUGCCUAUCAGAACCGAAAAGAUGGUGAACUAUGCCUAAGUAGGGUGAAGCCAGAGGAAACUCUAAUGGAGACCCACAGCAAUAGUGACAUGUAAGUCGUUCGUCUGACUUAGGUAUAAGGGCGAAAGAUUAAUCAAACCGUCCAGUAGCUGGUUCCCUAUGAAGUUUCCUGAUACGUGAUAUUCGUGACAGGUUUUAAAAAAUUUAUAAUUAAUCGUUCUUGAAACUAACUAUUAUCACAAUGAAGGCAAGUGUACCUAUCGAACAGUAAUAUAGCUUUAGCAAGACCAG
rnacentral:ncRNA from 1 species